rnacentral:rRNA from 1 species
UACGUAGGGUGCGAGCGUUGUCCGGAAUUAUUGGGCGUAAAGAGCUCGUAGGCGGUGUGUCGCGUCGGCCGUGAAAACCUGGGGCUCAACUCUGGGCGUGCGGUCGAUACGGGCAUCACUUGAGUUCGGCAGGGGGAGACUGGAAUUCCUGGUGUAGCGGUGAAAUGCGCAGAUAUCAGGAGGAACACCGGUGGCGAAGGCGGGUCUCUGGGCCGAUACUGACGCUGAGGAGCGAAAGCAUGGGUAGCGAACAGG